AUACGGAGGAUGCAAGCGUUAUCCGGAUUUAUUGGGUUUAAAGGGAGCGCAGGCGGAGAUGCAAGCGUGACGUCAAAUUUCGGGGCUCAACCCCGUCUCGCGUCGCGAACUGCGUCCCUUGGUUGCGGGAAGGGGAGGCGGAACUCGUGGUGUAGCGGUGAAAUGCAUAGAUAUCACGAAGAACUCCGAUCGCAAAGGCAGCCUUCCGGCCCGUCAACGACGCUCAUGCUCGAAGGUGCGGGUAUCAAACAGGAUUAGAUACCCUGGUAGUCCGCACAGUAAACGAUGGACACCCGCGGUUUGGCCUGUAUGGCUGAGCCGCCAAGCGAAAGCGUUAAGUGUCCCACCUGGGGAGUACGCCGGCAACGGUGAAACUCAGAUGAAUUGACGGGG
rnacentral:rRNA from 1 species